UACGAAGGGGGCUAGCGUUGCUCGGAAUCACUGGGCGUAAAGGGCGCGUAGGCGGCUUGGCAAGUCGGGGGUGAAAGCCCGUGGCUCAACCACGGAAUGGCCUUCGAUACUGGCAGGCUUGAGACCGGAAGAGGACAGCGGAACUGCGAGUGUAGAGGUGAAAUUCGUAGAUAUUCGCGAGAACACCAGUGGCGAAGGCGGCUGUCUGGUCCGGUUCUGACGCUGAGGCGCGAAAGCGUGGGGAGCAAACAGGAUUAGAUACCCUGGUAGUCCACGCUGUAAACGAUGAAUGCCAGCUGUUGGGGUGCUUGCACCGCAGUAGCGCAGCUAACGCUUUGAGCAUUCCGCCGGGGGAGUACGGUCGCAAGAUUAAAACUC
rnacentral:rRNA from 1 species